rnacentral:rRNA from 1 species
CCUACGGGUGGCUGCAGUCGAGAAUCAUUCACAAUGGGGGAAACCCUGAUGGUGCGACGCCGCGUGGGGGAAUGAAGGUCUUCGGAUUGUAAACUCUUGUCAUGUGGGAGCAAAUUAACAAGAUAGUACCACAAGAGGAAGAGACGGCUAACUCUGUGCCAGCAGCCGCGGUCAUACAGAGGUCUCAAGCGUUGUUCGGAAUCACUGGGCGUAAAGCGGGCGUAGGCGGUUUCGUAAGUCGUGUGUGAAAUGCGCGGGCUCAACCCGCGGACGGCACCUGAUACUGCGAAACUAGAGGAAUGGAGGGGGAACCGGAAUUCUCGGUGUAGCAGUGAAAUGCGGAGAUAUCGAGAGGAACACUCGGGGCGAAGGCGGGUUCCUGGACAUUAACUGACGCUGAGGCACGAAGGCCAGGGGAGCAAAAGGGAUUAGAUACCCGAGUAGUC